rnacentral:RNase_P_RNA from 1 species
AGUUGAUCAUACGGCCGCGCGGCUUUUCGCCGUGAGGAAAGUCCGGGCACCGCAGGGCAAGGACGCCGGAUAACGUCCGGUGGAGGCGACUUCAAGGAAAGUGCAACAGAAACAGACCGCAGGUUUUUCCUGUAAGGAUGGAAAGGGGAGGUAAGAGCUCACCGACGCUCUGGUAACAGGGCGUGCCGUGCAAACCCCGUCCGGUGCAAGAUUGGGCAUAUAUCGCAUGGGCUGCCCGCCCGAUGUAUGCCGUGAAUAUCGCUGGAGCGCAUCGGCGACGAUGCGCCGAGAUAGAUGGCCGUACACGACAGAACCCGGCUUACAGAUCA